GCGUGAGCAGCUUGUGGUGGAAAAUGUAAGUGCAUUAAUUGCUGUAGCGUCAUCACUGCAAUUUCUAUUGUGUUAUACAUCUCUAGUUAAUUGAAUCAAUAUAAAAUUCUACUGGAAAUUGUCCAUUAAAAAUUAAAUUCUAUAUUAUUAUGGUCAGCAUUCUUGAAAAAAUAAUUUAUAGUAAAAAACCAACCUUGAUAAAUAUAUUUACACGCAUUUACAGCCCGGAAAUACGACAACUUACUAUUUUUUAACAAGCACGAGACUAUGCACAAUAGACUGUCAACAAAUCUUAAACUGAUCAAAACCUGAUAUAACGGGUCACAUAAUUGCAAAAGGUGUAAAUUAUUUAUUUGUUUUAGACGCAACGGUUGGCAUUUUCAUUUUUGACCUUUCCAACUAUAUUUGACUUUCUAAUUAUAAUCUUGGUACGUUUUGUCUAAUCUUCAACAGGGAUCAACUAAUUUGUAACUUAUUACAUAAGUUUAUAACUUGAAGCAACUAAAUGUAGCAAAAUGUAUGUCCGAAAUCAAAUAAGUAAUAUUGCAUCUUCAACACUUUGUUGAACUUGAUUGGAGUUCGAUGAAAAGCGACAAUUUAUAAAUUAUGAGUUUUACUUUUUCAGAAUAAUUAUGACACCGUCUUGCUCUCAAAUUAUUUCUCAUUACUAGAAAACUUAUUAAAUUGGUUUUAUGAAUAUGGUGUUUAGUUAAGUUACAUAUUUAUUGCAAGUUGAAAUAGAGUGGAGCUAUAACCAUAGCCAAACUGCGUAUUUGUACUAUAAUGUAUUAAUUCACUGUCAUCCGAUAUCUUGUUAUCUGUAAAGUCUUCCUUAUCGUUAAUUGUGUAGGUAGACUUACAGUGCAAGUAAUUUUUGAUUGGUUUAUUCGUAUUGAUAAUUGAUAUUGAGCGAACCUUCAUUAUACAUCAAUUUAACAUUCUAAAAUCCAGACAGAUUGUACAUAUCAAGUUGCAAGUAAGAGAUCUCUUCUUCGAUUUUUUCAUAAAGUUGCAGAUCAUAUCGAUAAAUUCCUGAAAUGAAUGUUAAAAGAUAUAAGAUUUCUUUUAUGCGUUUACUUUUAUGCGUUUCUGAAUAAAUCAAUAAGAAGUAUACGCAAGAAUUUAUGUCUUCUGAGAGUACUAACUUUUACAUAUCUAUAUACAUACAUAUAACUACAUACAAACAUGUAUUAUGUGACUAUAAGGUAUGAAUUUGAUUUCUUCUUUAAAUUUUGCACUAAGUUCUUACCGCGAUAACCUACUCCAAUUUUUGGAUAUCGAUUAAAACAACUACAACAACUCCGUUGCUACUAUUUUAAUAGCAACGGAGAAGGUUCGUGGGAUUUGUAUUAUUCUUAGGAGUUGACAAGAACAUGGUCUCAAUUUAUCAUCAUACAGUUUCAGAAUUAUACGAUUCGACAUAAGAGAAGAAGUUCUUUGAAUAAUUAAAUGACUAGUGUUCAGAAAUUUACAAUUACCUGUAGGAAAUGUUAGACAGUUAUAUAAUGAUUUCUUAUCUAUAUAUUGAUUAUGCAAUAUAAUAUUAAGCUUGAUGUUCUCCUUUAAUUAUGAUAAUAAAAUUGUGUUUAUGAAU